UCUGGCACUAACAGGCCUUUCUGGACCAGCCUCUAAAUGUGAAAACAAACAAACCUAGACCUAAAGUAUCUCCCCUAAGUUGGAUCAUUCACUACAAGAGACUGGGUGGCUCAAGGGAAUUGGUAAUGGGAUACUGAAGCCACUCACCUUGAGGUUGCCCAUCUGAAUCCAAUCCAGCUGGAGACGAGCUUUUACUGAACCCUGCAGCACAGCCAUCCAAAUACAGACAGCGCUCCUGCGAUGGCAUGAGUGGGACAGAAAAUACAGUAACCUGAGAAGGAGAUAAGAACAAGAGAGAACAGUGAGAAUGCUCUUUGGCUGUGCAGUAGAUGUUCUGUCUCCUCACUGUUCUUUUUCCUGAUCUCACCCUGGGGAAAGCAACCUGUAUGCACCAUUUUUUACCUUUUGAAUAAAUCAAC